UGUAGAUAAAAGAAUUUCGUGAAAAUGAAUGCUAACAAUUUGUUAUGUCUUUCCUAUUGAAUUGACUUUUAAGUCAGCAUGUAGUAGAUAAAAACGUAAAUCCAUUUCACUGAAGCCAGUGUCGUUUGAAUAGGCAGGUCCAUACUAUAUAUAUGUUGGUGAUACAUACAUGUUUGCUUGACACAAUCAAAUGUUGUGUGUACAUUUACAAGAAAUGGAUGCGCUACAUUUUUUUUUUUGACUCUGUUUAGAUGCUUUCUGGUUCACAUUGUAUUGGAUUUUCCUGCUCAUGCAUAUAGUGUUUGUUAUAUAGGCAAUCGAUCUGGACAGUGAUAGUGCUUGUAAGCUAGCACAUUUUCAUUUUGAUCAUAAAACUUACUGAUCAUUUUCGUUUAACUUUUUCACUAAGGUUUGCUUGCUAAAGUUUUGUAGCUAUCCGUAGCCGUGACUGUUGGGCCCUGCGUGCUGUGUACCGGAACCUCUUGUUUCUGGCUUGGUAGCGCUCUCGUAGCCAGCAUGGAUUGGAUGUGGCCCUGGAGCCUUCCACUGGUCUCCCUCGUCGAUGGCACAUUCCUAGACAUGUGGUGUUCUCCCUUGCCGACCCGAGACCCUGUCGAGCAUGUGAAGGUGGAACUAGCAUCGUCAUAGGUGUACCUGCAUGUUGCCGGGCAGGUGGCCUCCUGCUAGUAGAUGGCAGGCUCCCGCACAGCUAGUGUACUGUAGUCGCCUCUACGUCGCCUCUGCAGCAGUAGGGCACUUACUGGCCUCGUCUUCGAAGAAGGGAUGCAUGAAAGGAUACACAAUACCUGUUGUAGAUAUAUGACUACAUGCGGGGGUUAUUGCAGGACAAGGAGGAGAUGGAAGCUGGAACCGAUAGCCAUACUACUUGGAAUCUGGAUGACCCAGG